CAUCUGCAAACAUCGCUGGUCAGGCCUGAGCCCCGCACAGCAUUUCCUGUGCCACCUUCUGAGGCUGUCCUUGACCAGACCACCCAUGGACUGCUGUGUGGGAAUUGCCCCCAAACCUGACCUGCCCCACACCGGCUGACAGGUGCUCCACUGGCCUGGGCCUGCCUACUGACCAAAAACCACUUGCUGCCUGCCUAGCAAAGUCUGGGCAGCUAUCACAAUGUUUUGCUACAUUUUGCCUUAUCUAUCUAUCUAUCUAUCUAUCUAUCUAUCUAUCUAUCUAUCUAUCUAUCUGUCUAUCUAUCUAUCUAUCUGUCCAUUCAUCCAUCCAUCCAUCCAUCCUGGGUUCAGGCAAUUCUCCUGCCUCAGCCUCCUGAGUAGCUGGGAUCGCGCCACCAUGCCCAGCUAAUUUUUUGUAUCUUUAGUAGAGACGGGGUUUCACCAUUUUGACCAGGAUGGUCUCGAUCUCUUGGCCUCGUGAUCCACCUGCCUCAGCCUCCCAAAGUGCUGGGAUUACAGGCUUGAGCUACCGCACCCAGCCUGCCCUUUUUAUUUUUAAAAUUUUUAUGAAAAAUGGACAAAUAAGUGCAAAUACUUAUGGUACAAAGAUAGGCCUCAUAAAUUGAAUAAAACUGAGAACAAACAGAACUCAGUAGGACAUCAGGCCGGCGACGCUCACCUCAAGGGAUGCUUGUUGGUCUUGGCUCAGCCGACUGGAUGUGCAGUUGUGAAGAAAAAGCAAAGUGAAAGAGGAGGCAUACAAUACUGAAAACCAGGCCAGGCAUGGCGGCUCACGCCUGUGAUCACAGCACUUUGGGUGGCCAACGUAGGAGGAUUGCUUGAGCCCAGGAAUUCAAGACCAGUCUGGGCAAAAUGGCGAAACCCCAUCUACAAUGAAAACAUCAGCCGGGUGCAGUGAUGCACUCCUGUAGUCCCAGCUACUCAGGAUGCUGAAGUAGGACUGAGGCCGCAGUGAACUGUGAUCACGCCACUGCACUCCAGCCUGAGCAGCAGAGCAAGAUGCUGUCUCAAAAAUAUAUAUAUAUACUGGAAUUUUUUUUUUUUUUUUUUGAGAUGGAGUCUCUUCACUCUACUGCCCAGGUUGGAAUGCUGUGGCACAAUCCUGGGUCACUGCAACCUCCGCCUCCCGAGUUCAAGCAAUUCUCCUGUCUCAGCCUCCCAAGUAGCUGGGAUUACAGGUACGCACCACCACACCCAGCUAAUUUUUUUAUUUUUAGUAGAGACAGGGCUUCACCAUGUUGGCCAGGAUGGUCUCGAUCUGACAUCAUGAUCUACCUGCUUCGCCUCCCAAAGUGCUGGAAUUACAGGCGUGAGCCACGGCACCCGGCCUAAUUUUUGUAUUUUUAGUAGAGAUGGAGUUUCAUCAUGUUGGCCAGGCUGGUCUCAAACCCCUGACCUCAAGUGAUCUGCCUGCCUCAGCCUCCCAGAGUGUUGGGGUUACAGGUGUGAGCCACUGCACCCGGCCAAAUAUUUUCAAUUAUCAUGUCUAAAAAUGUGGAGGUGUAAUUGUUUCUAACUUCUUUUACUUCUCUGAGGAAAGGGACUCUCCCUCAUGUGACAACUGAGGGAACCCUGUAUCUUCCGUGCUCCCGGGACAACCUGAUCGCUCCCCUAGCCUGGGCAUCAUUAUUAACACCUGCCCCUUUUUACUCUCAGGAGGGUCUCAGUUUGCAUGUAAGCCACAAGGUCAGCUCACUGAAAAGUCCACAGGACUCACUAUCAGUGGACUUGCAUUUCAGACUUCCAGAAAAACAUUUUCAGAAACACUAUGUGUAAAAGAAAAGGGUUGUCUGCACUUGAUUUCUCCUAAGAUACUCAUAUCUGCACAGGGAGUGGUACAUCAAUGGUACAGGCUGUUUUUUUUCCAUCUGAAGGUUGGGGAAAGACCUAGAACAAGUAGCUCACAAAAUGUGUUCCCAGGCCAGAGAGGAUCAAACAUCUGCUGUACCACUAACCACCUUCUCACGCCCCAGCACACCCUCUCAUCUCAGCUAGAAAGUAAAUGAGAUUAGUGUAGCUACCUUCCAGGGUGGGGACUGGAGGAGGGGAUCAGAACCCUACUGGAAGCCAGGAACAGUGGCUCAUGCCUGUAAUCCCAGCACUUUGGGAGGCUGAGGCAGGCGAUCGCUUGAGGUCAGGAGUUCAAGACCAGACUGGCCAACAAGGUGAAACCAUGUCUCUACUAAAAAUAAGAAAAUUAGUUGGGUGUGGUGGCAGGCCCCUAUAAUCCCAGCUACUCCAGAGGCUGAGAAAGGAGAAUUGUUUGAACCUGGGCGGCAGAGGUUGCAGUGAGCUGAAAUCAUGCCACUGCACUCCAGCCUGUGCAACAGAGCCAGACUCUGUCUCAAGAAAAAAAAAAAAUCAGUUAGAGAAAAUGGUUAUCAUAAGAUCUCCAAGCCUCCCAUCAAGCCAAGACCAUUUGUAAGCUUGAAUUCUUUUCCACAAAAGUAAACUGGCUUGAAGGAGACUAUCACUUCCAUGUAGCUAAUGGAUUAGAAGUCAUCUGCCCAAACUGACAAGAUUUGGGAGUGGACAGAAAUUGCUAGAUUACUCUGUCCCCAAAGGGCACCAAAGCUUUUAUCAACGCAUGUUCCUUGGUAUGGUGCUGACAAGUGCUGUCAUCAAGGUCCCUAACCUGCUGGCAGACAUGUCCGUGCCGAGCGCUGCUGCAGUCUGCUGACCAGGAGGGCCGGGAAGGAGGGCUGGGCAGGGAAGAACAGGGGAUAAAGCCAGGACACAGCACUGCAGACACCGAGAAAAAAAAGCAAGCAUGAAGGCAGGCGAGCAUCACAAACCGUGCAGGUCCUGUGAUGGCCUCCAAAGCUCCCCACAUGGGCGGCUCUGCAGUAUAGCAGGGUUCAACCCAAGCCAGGGGUUUCCAAAAGAUCACUUCCUGUUCCCCAAAUCCGACACUGCUCAGUGCCCUUUCCACCUCACUUCCUGAAAUGAAUCCCAUGCGGUUUCUUCCUCCUGCUACCAGGACUAUCUGGGACGGCAGAGGUUGCAGUGAGCUGAAAUCAUGCCACUGCACUCCAGCCUGUGCAACAGAGACACCCUGGAAGGAGUUUCAGAGGGACCCAAAGAAGAAAAUAGUCACUACUGAGCCGCAGCCCCACACAAUCCCAGAGCGUACCAGGGCCAUUAAGGUUGGGGCAACACAGGGUACGACCACUAAGUACAUCCGGAGAGAGACGAGGCAGAGGCCACAGAGAACACCCGUGUGGCUGAAGGCACCUUCCAGAAUGUAUGUUGUUUUUGUUUUUUUCUUAGAGAAAUGGGAUCUCACCAUGUUGCCCAGGCUACUCUUAAACUCCUGAGCUCAAGUGAUCCUCCCACCUUGGCCACCCAAAGUAUUGAGAUUACAGGUGUGAGCCACCACAUUGAGCCAAAGUUGAGCACUGUUUCCAAAACAAGUCAUGACGAUUAUUUUCCCAAAUGCUGAUAUUAGUUAUCCUUGAGUAGGGAGGAGUAUCUGUUUCUUGAACUUUCUGUCUUUACAUUUCUCUGUAUUUACUAAGUCUUCUAUGAUUAAUGAACAAUAUUUACACAGCAGACAAAAAAAAAAGGGAGGACAGAGGGGACCAGAGGAAGAUGACGCUCAAGUCCUGCUCACGCCGUCACUGCCCGUGAGAUCACAGCCCAGCGCUUUGCUUCGUUUGCUGUCCGGCCUCCCUAGUUACAGUCACGGGUUACACAAUGAGGCAGAAGCAAAGUGAGUAUUUGCUAAAUUGUGAAAUCCAGUUAAACUCUUGGAGCCUGUGUGGGACCAGGAAGAUCCCUCUAGAAGGCAUUUUGGUGGUUCCCUAGCGGUUUUUGCUAUUGAGCUCAGGUAACCACUGAGUUCCUUAGUGGUUUUUGCUGUUGCUCAAUCAUGUUUAUUUCACUAGAAACGUUCCCAGCGUUUCUCCCACGUUUCCUCCUAAUCAAUAAGAAAGGCCCGCUGACACAACCACACUUUACCUUCUGUGAGCUUGGCCUGCUUCUGCUGUCUGGCCCGUAACCUUUGUUCCACCGCUGAAAGCCCGUGACUGUUAAAUCCAUACCUGUAGAGAACAAGCAGAUGGGAGGGGCAAAGUGAGAGGGCAGAGGAUUUAAAGAGACUGCUCCAUGGCCAUUUCCUGUAUACUUAAGACUUUCAAACACAAGAGAAAAAAAUCACAGUCAAUUCUACAUUUUCAGGGUGUAAACACCCCUGGGGCUCCUAGAGAACUUGCCAGGACACCAUCCAAUACCCAAGGAAAGAUUAAAAUUUGCAAAGGCUCAGCCAACUGGCAUUGGAAACAGCCCAGGCUCAGCAGCAGCUGCCCCAGACCUGCUGGAUCACCACUCCUUACCCAGCCACUGAGAAUCGCACAUGCACUUGCCACCUGCUGCUGGGCUCCCCAACAGCCUCCUGAGGCCCCUGCAGCCACCUCCAUCUCCCUACGCUUUCUGCUUGUGAAAAUCACAUCUCUUCCUAGCUCAGAGCGAAUGCUCCCUCUCCUCCUGCACAGAGCUCCCAGCUACAAAGGACUCCUCAUCCCCCUGGCCUUCCUACCUCUAUCCUGGCUCAGGAUAGAUGCAUACAUAUAUGCUCAAGGUCUCGUACUAGGUUACAAUCUUCUUGAGGGUGAGCAGCAUCUCAUACCUCUCUCAUUCCUCUGUCACUGUCACUAGACACUCCCCGAAGGCAAGGGCCUCAUCUCUCUUUCAUCCCUGUGUCCCCAGCCUCACCGUGUGUGUUGACCUAGUAGCCAGUCCCCUUCCUCUUCCUUCUAGUCAAUAAAACUCACCUUUCCUGAUACAGGGUAAAAUGCUAAUGACUCCUUUCCCAGCCUUGCUGGCAAGUGAAACACAAAUGUGUACCCAAAUGUGGACAUGGAGACACUAGUGAGGCCUACUGGGAGCCUCUGAGAGCAGCCCCCAGCCCCUCCGCUCUUCCCUUCUGCUCUUGAGUGUCCAUGUAAGAACAUAACAUUUGGCUGGGCACGGUGGCUCAUGCCUGUAAUCCCAGCACUUUGGGAGGCCAACGCAGGCAGAUCAUGAGGUCAGGAGACUGAGACCAUCCUGACCAUGGUGAAACCCCAUCUCUACUAAAAUACAAAAAAAACAUUAGCCAGGCAUGGUGGCACACACCUGUAGUCCCGGCUACUCAGGAGGCUGAAGCAGGGGAAUUGCUCGAAUCUGGGAGACAGAUGAAUGAGCUGAGCUCCUGCCAAUGCACUCCAGCCUGGCAAAAGAACAAGACUCCAUCUCAAAAAACAAAACAAAACAAAAUAUACUUGCAGCUGAGGUCACUCUCUGAUAAGCUAAAAGGGAAGGCCCAGAGAAGUGGGACCAGAGUCUCAGCGUUGCCCUGGUGCUCAACCAAGCCGGGACCUGCCCAUCACACCUGUUAUGAGAAGAAAAUAAUAUCAAAUGCCUGUUGUUUAAGCCACUUUGUUAAAGCCAAAAGCAUCUAUAAUAACAGAUACAGCGGCACACAUAUGUGAUGACUUCAUACAUUCACCCGUUCAUUCAGCAACUGUUGAAUGAACUGCUGCGCAGCCAGGAGGCCACAUACACACAGUGCUCAGAGCACGAUCUCACUCCUGCUCACCUACAGGAUUCACCAAGUACCAUCAUCUCAGCACCUGCAGUUAUCUGUAGCAGCUGAAUGAUAUGCAAAUACAUUUUGCCUGGCCAAUUCUGAAGAUAUUGAUCUCCACCCACAAUGCAGCAGAAAGAUCAAUAACUUGAUCUCUAAUGCUGGAGAAUUUCCCUGAAACAAGCAUAAUAAAGCAGGAAGCACGGCCAAGUAACCAUCCUACAGGUCUGUCUCCCAGGAGGCUACCAGCGGCCCCAAAGAUGCCCUUCGAAAUCUCCCCAAGGAAGCUCUUCAAAAUCCUCUUCCAAAAAAUCACUUUCUCCUGUUUGCUCAAGGCUGGGGCUGUGCUGUCCAGUACAAGCUUGCUGGCCACGUGCGGCUGCUGGCUGCUGGGAAUGCAGCUGGUCCAGAGGGACAGGUGCUGAGAGGAAAGUACACACUGGCUCUUGAAGACUUGGGACAAGCAAAAGAAAGUAAAAAUAGCCCAUUAAUAACUUUUAUGUUGUUUUAAAUAUAUGUUUUUUAAAUACUUGUAACAUAUUAAAUAUAACUAAAUUAUAAUUUUAA